rnacentral:lncRNA from 1 species
CUAUUCACAUAAAAAAAACUAUUUGCUUGGAAAAUCAAGAAUUUUUCAUUUACUAUACUAAACUAAGAUAUGAAAAUAUGAACACAGAUUGAAGUAAUUAAAUAACAGAAACCAUGCUCAACAUUAACCAUCUUACCCCGAGCAAGAAGCUUGUAUUCAAAAGUCAUUGAAGCAGCUAAUAACUGAAUCAUGAAUUAAUGGGUUAAAGAAUAGAGAGGC